rnacentral:lncRNA from 1 species
GAUCUGGUUUCCGGCUCACCUCGGAUCACAUGUGGUAUCCAUGGCCAACCUGAACGAGAUCGCCCACACCUGAGCGCCCGAGCUAACUCACCGAGCUGGGCAGCCUGGGCGAUUUUCGGAAUAAAAUCAAGCGGUCCUUAGAGACGUUCUCCUCACUUUUAAUGAUAUCUUCAGACAUUAUCAGUAGGGCUCGAGGGUCUUCCACCUUCCUCAUAAGAAUCUCUCUAGACCACAGGCAUCGAGCCUCCGCAGGUUUCAUAACACGUCAUACGGUAGUCUUUCUUCAUACAGCCAGUUUAUCGAAGGCCUUGAUCCAACAUGGCCAGAUUGUGGCGCCGCUUCUACGUUAGAUCACACGUUUUGGCAGUGUCCCUGAUUACAGUGUCAUCAACGCACGACCGAAGAGGAAUGGAGCUCCAUGCUCAGGAACUCAGACCUUCUACAUCAACUCAGGGUCGUCCAGAGAGCACGCGACGCAGCGGUCAUGAUGCCACUUUCUAGGCGAUGACGUAAUGCAGCGUUUUUGCAGCAAGAUAAGAAAACGAAAGCAACUCUGGCAGAUGAGCUGGUCAAUGAGCAUUUGCACAGCCAAGAAACUAGGCUUUGCGUAGGUGUGUUUCGAAACGCG